rnacentral:rRNA from 1 species
GACGAACGCUGGCGGCGCGCCUAACACAUGCAAGUCGAACGAGCGAGAGAGAGCUUGCUUUCUCGAGCGAGUGGCGAACGGGUGAGUAACGCGUGAGGAACCUGCCUCAAAGAGGGGGACAACAGUUGGAAACGACUGCUAAUACCGCAUAAGCCCACAGGUCGGCAUCGACCAGAGGGAAAAGGAGCAAUCCGCUUUGAGAUGGCCUCGCGUCCGAUUAGCUAGUUGGUGAGGUAACGGCCCACCAAGGCAACGAUCGGUAGCCGGACUGAGAGGUUGAACGGCCACAUUGGGACUGAGACACGGCCCAGACUCCUACGGGAGGCAGCAGUGGGGAAUAUUGCACAAUGGGGGAAACCCUGAUGCAGCGACGCCGCGUGGAGGAAGAAGGUCUUCGGAUUGUAAACUCCUGUUGU